UUCUGGCUCAGGAUGAACGCUGGCGGCGUGCUUAACACAUGCAAGUCGAACGAAGCGUCCCGCCCGAUGAAGUGGAGUGCUUGCACAAAGCAGAAUCAAUUGGGAUGACUUAGUGGCGGACGGGUGAGUAACGCGUGGGUAACCUGCCUUACACAGGGGGACAACAGUUGGAAACGACUGCUAAUACCGCAUAACCCGCUAGUAUCGCAUGAUACAGACGGAAAAGAUUUAUCGGUGUAAGAUGGACCCGCGUCUGAUUAGCUAGUUGGUGAGGUAACGGCUCACCAAGGCGACGAUCAGUAGCCGGCCUGAGAGGGUGAACGGCCACAUUGGGACUGAGACACGGCCCAAACUCCUACGGGAGGCAGCAGUGGGGAAUAUUGGACAAUGGGGGAAACCCUGAUCCAAGCGACGCCGCGUGAGUGAAGAAGUAUUUCGGUAUGUAAAGCUCUAUCAGCAGGGAAGAAAAUGACGGUACCUGACUAAGAAGCCCCGGCUAACUACGUGCCAGCAGCCGC
rnacentral:rRNA from 1 species